AUGGAAGAGAGGAGUGUUUUGACCCAGCGUUAUGAAAUCGGGAGGCAAUUAGGACAAGGCACCUUUGCAAAGGUAUACUAUGCUCGCAAUCUAGCAAAUGGUCAGUCUGUUGCCAUAAAAAUACUCGAUAAGGACAAGAUCUUGAAGGUUGGUCUCGUGGAUCAGAUAAAGAGGGAGAUCUCGAUAAUGAGAAUUGUAAGGCAUCCGAAUGUUCUGCAGCUUUUUGAGGUAAUGGCUACCAGGAGCAAGAUUUACUUCGUUCUGGAGUACGCUAAAGGCGGUGAGCUUUUCAACAAAUUAGCCAAGGGGAAGCUUACUGAGGAGGGGGCAAGGACAUAUUUUCACCAGUUGAUCUCUGCUAUAGAUUAUUGCCACAGUAGAGGUGUUUACCAUCGUGACUUGAAGCCUGAAAACCUACUAGUGGAUGAGUAUGGGACCCUUAGGGUCUCUGAUUUUGGUUUAAGUGCGCUAACCAAGUCAAAGUGGCGAGAUGGUCUGCUCCACACCGCAUGUGGAACUCCGGCUUAUGUUGCUCCGGAAGUGCUCAGCAGGAAAGGCUACAACGGUGCAAAGGCAGAUGUAUGGUCUUGUGGAGUGAUUCUGUUUGUUCUUGUUGCCGGUUAUCUUCCUUUCCAUGAAAGAAACCUUAUGGAGUUGUAUAGAAAGAUUGCUAAGGCUGAGUACAGAUGCCCUCGUUAUUUUUCCACUGAGCUGAAGGAGCUCCUUAGUGGGAUCCUUGAUCCAGAUCCUAAUACUAGAAUGUCCAUCGCAAGGAUAAAGAGAAGUCCUUGGUAUAGGAAGCCGGUUGAGAGAACACCACUGAGAAAAGACAAGACUUAUGCGAGUGAAGCUGCUGCGUCUGGCCUUGCACGUCGCAACAGUUCCGAUGGACCGGCGAGCAUGAAUGCAUUUAAUAUCAUUUCCCUCACUCCUGGGUUCGAUCUAUCUGGUUUGUUCGAUGAAAGAUAUAGCCAAAGGGAGGCCCGGUUUGCUUCCAAUGAGCCGCCAGCAGCUGUAUUUGUGAAGCUGGAGGAACUUGCCCAACGCAUGAAGCUUAAAGUUACAAAGAAAGACAAUGGAGCGAUGAAAUUGGCCGCACCGAGGGAAGGAAAGAAGGGUACUCUUGAGUUUGAAGCAGAAAUCUAUGAGCUCACGUCGUCUUUUCUCUUAGUCGAGUUGAAGAAGACCAAUGGUGACACUAUGGAGUACCAGAAACUGUUGAAAGAAGACAUUAGGCCAUCACUCAAGGACAUUGUUUGGUCAUGGCAUGGCGAUGUUCAGCAGCAGGCACAGCUACCUCAGGAUCCACAGUGGCCACCACAGCAGCAGGCACAGCAACCUCAGGAUCGACAGUGGCCGCCGCCGCUCCCACCACAGCGGUUAGAACAUUUAGCUGCAAAUGCCCCACUGCCACAAUAA
rnacentral:rRNA from 1 species